GUUGUCAUCUCUAGUAUAAGCAAUCUAUACUGUGAAACUGCGAAUGGCUCAUUAAAUCAGUUAUCGUUUAUUUGAUAGUACCUUACUACAUGGAUACCUGUGGUAAUUCUAGAGCUAAUACAUGCUAAAAACCCCGACUUCGGGAGGGGUGUAUUUAUUAGAUAAAAAACCAAUGCCCCUCGGGGCUCCUUGGUGAUUCAUAAUAACUUAACGAAUCGCAUGGCCUUGCGCCGGCGAUGGUUCAUUCAAAUUUCUGCCCUAUCAACUUUCGAUGGUAGGAUAGUGGCCUACCAUGGUGGCAACGGGUAACGGGGAAUUAGGGUUCGAUUCCGGAGAGGGAGCCUGAGAAACGGCUACCACAUCCAAGGAAGGCAGCAGGCGCGCAAAUUACCCAAUCCCGACACGGGGAGGUAGUGACAAUAAAUACUGAUACGGGGCUCUUUUGGGUCUCGUAAUUGGAAUGAGAACAAUCUAAACCCCUUAACGAGGAACAAUUGGAGGGCAAGUCUGGUGCCAGCAGCCGCGGUAAUUCCAGCUCCAAUAGCGUAUAUUAAAGUUGUUGCAGUUAAAAAGCUCGUAGUUGAACCUUGGGUCUGGCUGGCCGGUCCGCCUCACCGCGAGUACUGGUCCGGCUGGACCUUUCCUUCUGGGGAAGCCCAUGGCCUUCACUGGCUGUGGGGGGAACCAGGACUUUUACUGUGAAAAAAUUAGAGUGUUCAAAGCACGCCUUUGCUCGGAUACAUUAGCAUGGAAUAAUAGAAUAGGGACGUGCGGUUCUAUUUUGUUGGGUUUCUAGGACCCGCCCGUAAUGAUUUAAUAGGGGAUAGUCGGGGGGGCGUCAGUAUUUCAGCUGUCAGAGGUGAAAUUUCUUUGGAAUUGCUGAGGACUUACCUUACCUGCGAAAGCCAUUUCCGCCCAAAGGGAAUGGU
rnacentral:rRNA from 1 species